rnacentral:rRNA from 1 species
UCUGCCCGCUGGCGGCGUGCCUAAUACAUGCAAGUCGAGCGAACGGACGAGAAGCUUGCUUCUCUGAUGUUAGCGGCGGACGGGUGAGUAACACGUGGAUAACCUACCUAUAAGACUGGGAUAAAUUCGGGAAACCGGAGCUAAUACCGGAUGAUAUUUUGAACCGCAUGGUUCAAAAGUGAAAGACGGUCUUGCUGUCACUUAUAGAUGGAUCCGCGCUGCAUUAGCUAGUUGGUAAGGUAACGGCUUACCAAGGCAACGAUGCAUAGCCGACCUGAGAGGGUGAUCGGCCACACUGGAACUGAGACACGGUCCAGACUCCUACGGGAGGCAGCAGUAGGGAAUCUUCCGCAAUGGGCGAAAGCCUGACGGAGCAACGCCGCGUGAGUGAUGAAGGUCUUCGGAUCGUAAAACUCUGUUAUUAGGGAAGAACAUAUGUGUAAGUAACUGUGCACAUCUUGACGGUACCUAAUCAGAAAGCCACGGCUAACUACGUG